rnacentral:rRNA from 1 species
UUAAGCGACUAAGCGUACACGGUGGAUGCCCUGGCAGUCAGAGGCGAUGAAGGACGUGCUAAUCUGCGAUAAGCGUCGGUAAGGUGAUAUGAACCGUUAUAACCGGCGAUUUCCGAAUGGGGAAACCCAGUGUGUUUCGACACACUAUCAUUAACUGAAUCCAUAGGUUAAUGAGGCGAACCGGGGGAACUGAAACAUCUAAGUACCCCGAGGAAAAGAAAUCAACCGAGAUUCCCCCAGUAGCGGCGAGCGAACGGGGAGCAGCCCAGAGCCUGAAUCAGUGUGUGUGUUAGUGGAAGCGUCUGGAAAGGCGCGCGAUACAGGGUGACAGCCCCGUACACAAAAAUGCACAUGCUGUGAGCUCGAUGAGUAGGGCGGGACACGUGGUAUCCUGUCUGAAUAUGGGGGGACCAUCCUCCAAGGCUAAAUACUCCUGACUGACCGAUAGUGAACCAGUACCGUGAGGGAAAGGCGAAAAGAACCCCGGCGAGGGGAGUGAAAAAGAACCUGAAACCGUGUACGUACAAGCAGUGGGAGCACGCUUAGGCGUGUGACUGCGUACCUUUUGUAUAAUGGGUCAGCGACUUAUAUUCUGUAGCAAGGUUAACCGAAUAGGGGAGCCGAAGGGAAACCGAGUCUUAACUGGGCGUUAAGUUGCAGGGUAUAGACCCGAAACCCGGUGAUCUAGCCAUGGGCAGGUUGAAGGUUGGGUAACACUAACUGGAGGACCGAACCGACUAAUGUUGAAAAAUUAGCGGAUGACUUGUGGCUGGGGGUGAAAGGCCAAUCAAACCGGGAGAUAGCUGGUUCUCCCCGAAAGCUAUUUAGGUAGCGCCUCGUGAAUUCAUCUCCGGGGGUAGAGCACUGUUUCGGCAAGGGGGUCAUCCCGACUUACCAACCCGAUGCAAACUGCGAAUACCGGAGAAUGUUAUCACGGGAGACACACGGCGGGUGCUAACGUCCGUCGUGAAGAGGGAAACAACCCAGACCGCCAGCUAAGGUCCCAAAGUCAUGGUUAAGUGGGAAACGAUGUGGGAAGGCCCAGACAGCCAGGAUGUUGGCUUAGAAGCAGCCAUCAUUUAAAGAAAGCGUAAUAGCUCACUGGUCGAGUCGGCCUGCGCGGAAGAUGUAACGGGGCUAAACCAUGCACCGAAGCUGCGGCAGCGACGCUUAUGCGUUGUUGGGUAGGGGAGCGUUCUGUAAGCCUGCGAAGGUGUGCUGUGAGGCAUGCUGGAGGUAUCAGAAGUGCGAAUGCUGACAUAAGUAACGAUAAAGCGGGUGAAAAGCCCGCUCGCCGGAAGACCAAGGGUUCCUGUCCAACGUUAAUCGGGGCAGGGUGAGUCGACCCCUAAGGCGAGGCCGAAAGGCGUAGUCGAUGGGAAACAGGUUAAUAUUCCUGUACUUGGUGUUACUGCGAAGGGGGGACGGAGAAGGCUAUGUUGGCCGGGCGACGGUUGUCCCGGUUUAAGCGUGUAGGCUGGUUUUCCAGGCAAAUCCGGAAAAUCAAGGCUGAGGCGUGAUGACGAGGCACUACGGUGCUGAAGCAACAAAUGCCCUGCUUCCAGGAAAAGCCUCUAAGCAUCAGGUAACAUCAAAUCGUACCCCAAACCGACACAGGUGGUCAGGUAGAGAAUACCAAGGCGCUUGAGAGAACUCGGGUGAAGGAACUAGGCAAAAUGGUGCCGUAACUUCGGGAGAAGGCACGCUGAUAUGUAGGUGAAGUCCCUCGCGGAUGGAGCUGAAAUCAGUCGAAGAUACCAGCUGGCUGCAACUGUUUAUUAAAAACACAGCACUGUGCAAACACGAAAGUGGACGUAUACGGUGUGACGCCUGCCCGGUGCCGGAAGGUUAAUUGAUGGGGUCAGCGCAAGCGAAGCUCUUGAUCGAAGCCCCGGUAAACGGCGGCCGUAACUAUAACGGUCCUAAGGUAGCGAAAUUCCUUGUCGGGUAAGUUCCGACCUGCACGAAUGGCGUAAUGAUGGCCAGGCUGUCUCCACCCGAGACUCAGUGAAAUUGAACUCGCUGUGAAGAUGCAGUGUACCCGCGGCAAGACGGAAAGACCCCGUGAACCUUUACUAUAGCUUGACACUGAACAUUGAGCCUUGAUGUGUAGGAUAGGUGGGAGGCUUUGAAGUGUGGACGCCAGUCUGCAUGGAGCCGACCUUGAAAUACCACCCUUUAAUGUUUGAUGUUCUAACGUUGACCCGUGAUCCGGGUUGCGGACAGUGUCUGGUGGGUAGUUUGACUGGGGCGGUCUCCUCCUAAAGAGUAACGGAGGAGCACGAAGGUUGGCUAAUCCUGGUCGGACAUCAGGAGGUUAGUGCAAUGGCAUAAGCCAGCUUGACUGCGAGCGUGACGGCGCGAGCAGGUGCGAAAGCAGGUCAUAGUGAUCCGGUGGUUCUGAAUGGAAGGGCCAUCGCUCAACGGAUAAAAGGUACUCCGGGGAUAACAGGCUGAUACCGCCCAAGAGUUCAUAUCGACGGCGGUGUUUGGCACCUCG